UCCACUAGGGCAAUCUCCACUACAAGCGGUUGGAACAUCCAAACAGCUGAAAUCUCCUUUGUAUCCUGUUUAUUCCGUAGAUGACCUUGUGACCUCCUGGGUAAUCACGUCUACCGGUUCUAAAGUGAUAACAUUAGAGGUUGUAGAUUUAGAUAUAUCUGUAUCAGGGGAGAUAACUAUACAUGACGGUGACAGUCCUGCGUCACCCACUUUAUUAAAACUACGUCAUGAUAGUCGAGACAAACAGAUUAUAUCAACCAGCAACAACCUGUAUAUCUACUAUAAUACUGGUACAACAGAUACAAUUAACAGAAGAGGCUUUCUCUUUACUUAUAGAGAAGGUUGUGAUUUUACGAUCAGAUCGAAUCAAGGGGAGGUCAUUUCACCUGGUUAUGCACGUGGUCUAUAUCCCAAUAUCUUGCAAUGUUCCUGGACAAUUUACUCACUUACAGGAAAUUCACUCACUCUCAACUUUGACCCCGUUUUUCGUUUGGAACAGGACAAAGAUAUCGUAAAGGUAUACAAAAGUAACGGACCGUCUGACGCUGCCCACACUGGAAAUGGUUUUAGUGGCAUCACAGCUCCAGGAACUAUUGUUUCUCCUAGUGGAAGAUUGUAUAUACAGUUUACUACUAGUGCUUUAGGACAAGAUAAAGGAUUUAAAGCUAGUUUCUCUGCAGGAUGUAAUGGUUUAAGUGAUCCUACUAUCAAAGUUGAACCGUAUUAUUCUACAUACAGCUAUAACGAGGUCAUCACAGUUACCUGUAUAACUAAUCAAGUCUUCUAUAACAAAAUAUACACUGGACAAUCGAGCAUUUCGUUACUUUGUACAAAUGGUGGUUCUUGGAAUAAAGAAAUACCAACCUGUUCUCGCGUGCCGUGUGGAGCUGUUCCUUCUGUUACCAAUGGAUACCUGAUAUCUAGCACUGGACCAUAUUCUGGUUCCACAGCAACGUAUGCUUGUAACUAUGGUUACAAUAUGACCCGGGAUGCCACCAUUACUUGUAAGAGUUCCGGUUUGUGGGAUAAUGGUCCAUCUUGUUAUGCUACGUCAUGUUCAGCUAAGUUUGGUAUUAAUAAUGGUAAUAUGGUGGUAUUAUAUGGUAAUGGUUAUAAUCAAGGAUCAGUAUUACAGUAUAGUUGUAUUGACGGCUAUGAAA